rnacentral:rRNA from 1 species
UACGUAGGGUGCAAGCGUUGUCCGGAAUUAUUGGGCGUAAAGAGCUCAUAGGCGGUCUGUCGCGUCUGCUGUGAAAACUCAGGGCUUAACCCUGAGCUUGCAGUGGGUACGGGCAGACUAGAGUGCGGUAGGGGAGACUGGAAUUCCUGGUGUAGCGGUGAAAUGCGCAGAUAUCAGGAGGAACACCGGUGGCGAAGGCGGGUCUCUGGGCCGUAACUGACGCUGAGGAGCGAAAGCAUGGGGAGCGAACAGG